rnacentral:rRNA from 1 species
UACGAAGGGGGCUAGCGUUGCUCGGAAUCACUGGGCGUAAAGCGCACGUAGGCGGACUCUUAAGUCAGGGGUGAAAUCCUGGAGCUCAACUCCAGAACUGCCUUUGAUACUGAGAGCCUUGAGUUCGGGAGAGGUGAGUGGAACUGCGAGUGUAGAGGUGAAAUUCGUAGAUAUUCGCAAGAACACCAGUGGCGAAGGCGGCUCACUGGCCCGAUACUGACGCUGAGGUGCGAAAGCGUGGGGAGCAAACAGGAUUAGAUACCCCCGUAGUCC